CCUCCCGUAGGUGAACCUGCGGAAGGAUCAUUACAUU
rnacentral:rRNA from 1 species